CGUAUGUGGAGAGAAAUUACGAAAUGAAAAAGUGAAAAUCCGUUGACUCUUCGUCAGCCGAACAGCCAUGGAAGCGCUCAUUUCGCCUCGUGGUUCCCUGCAUUACGUGAAUUUACUGCGUUUUUCUUCGAACAAGAUCCUCUCAGUAUUUUCAUCUUGACUUUGUAUUAUGUACUCUCAUCUCUGCAUCGCUUCAAGCAACACAAAUGAUAACUUCCGGAAGAAAACUUGAUUUUUUUCUCAAGUUUAGUCUGGUUAUAGUGGAAUCUGCAUCUGAAUCUCGAGAAUGUUCAUAAGGAAAUGCAGAAUUAAGAAAGAAAUAAUUGUUAUGUAAAUCAAAAUGCUGAAGAAACUAAUAAUGAGAAACAAGAAUUGAUGUAAUAUGAGUAAAUUUACAGAACUGUCAAUUUGAAAUCAAUUUUUCUUUAGCUGUGGAAUA